rnacentral:rRNA from 1 species
AUUGAACGCUGGCGGCAGGCUUAACACAUGCAAGUCGAGCGGGGAAAGGUAGCUUGCUACCUGACCUAGCGGCGGACGGGUGAGUAAUGCUUAGGAAUCUGCCUAUUAGUGGGGGACAACAUCUCGAAAGGGAUGCUAAUACCGCAUACGUCCUACGGGAGAAAGCAGGGGACCUUCGGGCCUUGCGCUAAUAGAUGAGCCUAAGUCGGAUUAGCUAGUUGGUGGGGUAAAGGCCUACCAAGGCGACGAUCUGUAGCGGGUCUGAGAGGAUGAUCCGCCACACUGGGACUGAGACACGGCCCAGACUCCUACGGGAGGCAGCAGUGGGGAAUAUUGGACAAUGGGGGGAACCCUGGUCCAGCCAUGCCGCGUGUGUGAAGAAGGCCUUUUGGUUGUAAAGAACUUUAAGCGAGGAGGAGGCUACCGAGAUUAAUACUCUUGGAUAGUGGACGUUACUCGCAGAAUAAGCACCGGCUAACUCUGUG